rnacentral:lncRNA from 1 species
GUUUGUCGACUGAAGACGAGCACUGUACAGCCAAGGCAAUUACCUGCUGUUUGGCUACUGUAGGCGCCACCAAUUAUUGUAUCAAUGCUUGGUUACAAAAUCAGCUGAUCAAAAAAAUCGUCUUUUUAUACUUAUGAAAGACAGUGACAAGUCUAGAUUGACUAAAGAAUUGAAAAAGAAAAAAAACUGUGACAAGUACUCAGUAUGACUAUACCAUGCCAUUACCCCCAAAGACAAAAAGACGUAGGGUUGCCCGAAC